GGAGAAUCUGAGACUUCUGAAGAGUUUCUUGCUUCUUUCCUGUGGGGCAGUGACUCCACUUCCCAGCAGUAAUGGAAUAUCCUGAAUUAGCUACAUUAAUGUUAGAACCAUUUGGACCUCACCCAGGACUUCAACUACAUUGUGAGUAACUCCUGGACGACUGGCACAGAAGAAGGCACAAGGCAAAUACCCAUCUCUGUACACCCUGUGCUACUGUGUCAUGUGCUGCUCCAGGCAACUCCAAUGGAUUGGCCACCCUGGCCAAUGUGUGAAUUAUAAAGCAAUGAUGUGUAGCUAUUGAACCUACAAUUUGGUUAAAAUUAAACUCUCAAGUUUUAUAUGUUUACAAGCAUAUUGUCCUUUUGUUAAUUUCCUCCCAAUACUCAUUCUUGACUUCUUUUAGUUUUACUAUGUAGUAAUUUUUAAAAUGUUAUUCAAAGUUAGUUAAUUUAAUUCACUUGGCAGAUUUUCCUGUAAUUUUGGUUAAACAGUAUCCUUUCUGUACAGGCCCUCCAAACACCAGCACUGAGUAGAAAGAGGCUCUGAUUCAUGAAAUGUGAAUUUAUGACAGUUGCCACUCUUUAAAAAAAAACAGACAGAACUUGAGCAAUACAUGACUGAUGCAUUCUCAGCCUGCUUCCUGUGUUCCAUCUGUCUUUCUGGCAGUGCAUUCACCCUCCAGGUUUGAAAGUAGUCGGGUAAGAAAGUACUAAACAUAGAGAAAGGGCAAUUCCAAAAGAACAAAUGAUUGUUUAAUUUAGCCUGACAUUACCCAGUUGCUGGGGGUAUGGGCCAUGGGGAUCGGCCAUGUUCACCACUUAGGUUGGGCAAAUUCCCAGGAUGCCUUUUGACAUAGUAAUGAGGGGGAAUACAUCACUCAUGCCCACU
rnacentral:sRNA from 1 species